rnacentral:rRNA from 1 species
AUACGUAGGUGACAAGCGUUAUCCGGAUUUACUGGGCGUAAAGGGCGUGUAGGCGGUCUUGCAAGUCAGAAGUGAAAUUCCUGAGCUCAACUCGGGCGCUGCUUCUGAAACUGCAGGACUUGAGUGCUGGAGGGGAUAGCGGAAUUCCUAGUGGAGCGGUAAAAUGCGCAGAUAUUAGGAAGAACACCGGUGGCGAAGGCGGCUAUCUGGACAGUAACUGACGCUGAGGCUCGAAAGCGUGGGGAGCAAACAGGAUUAGAUCCCCUGGUAGUCCACGCCGUAAACGAUGAAUACUAGGUGUAGGGGGUAUCGACUCCCUCUGUGCCGCAGUUAACACAAUAAGUAUUCCGCCUGGGGAGUACGGCCGCAAGGUUGAAACUCAAAUGAAUUGACGGGG